rnacentral:tRNA from 1 species
UAUAGCUUGAUGGUAGAGCAUUUGCCUAGUAUGCAAGAGACCCUAGGUUCAAUUCCCCGUA